CCGCCGCCGCCCGGUCGACUUCCGCGGGCGGUGUCCACAGCACACCGUGCCGGGUCAGGUCGGCGCGCUGGUGCGUGCCCGGCGCGGUGCG
rnacentral:tRNA from 1 species